GACGUAGGGCGCGAGCGUUGUCCGGAUUUAUUGGGCGUAAAGAGCUCGUAGGCGGCUUGUCGCGUCGACUGUGAAAACCCGCAGCUCAACUGUGGGCUUGCAGCUGAUACGGGCGGGCUUGGAUUCGGUAGGGGAGACUGGAAUUCCUGGUGUAGCGGUGAAAUGCGCAGAUAUCAGGAGGAACACCGGUGGCGAAGGCGGUUCUCUGGGCAUGUCCUGACGCUGGAGGAGCGAAAGCAUGGGGAGCGAACAGG
rnacentral:rRNA from 1 species